AUGACGAUGUGGAGAGACCUAGUUCACAUGGCUGCAGCUGUGUUGAAGGUACAGGUGGGAGAAGAUGUUGUUGGUCUUAUUAGCUAUGAUCCUAUGACGGUAACCCAGCUGGCCCUGUCCAUGGGUGCCCCCUUCCGGGAGCGCAGGCCUCAGAUGAUUACAUCUGUGGGGGCGCACAAGGGGGUACGUAGGGUGUCCUGGGCGGAGCAGAUGGCACGAACGAACAGCGCUCGCCUGCGUGGGCGCGAGGACAAGUGUCCGGCUCAGCUGUUGGGCAAUGCGAACAGCCACAGCGCCCGCGCGCUCGCCCGCCAACCUCCCCGCCGUUGGCCGUCCUCGACCUUUCGACGGAGGCACGCGGAGCCCGGCCGCGGCCGUGGAAGUUGGCCGCCGGCGCCCAGGGGGGCGUACGUAGAGGCACCUGAGACAGGGACAGCGAGCCGCUCGUCCCGGCGCGUCGCGGGGGGUUGGACCUUGGACGGGCGCGCGUACGAGGCUGGCCGGCGGGCUCACGGGCGCGGGGGCAAAGCACGUGGACGCGCCGUGGAGUUUCUGGCCGCGGCCCCGACAGCCCCCGCAGCUAGGCUAGGGGCUAGGGCUACUGCACCUCCACGUGAAACCUCCCUUGCUUCCAGUUCCAGGUCACCUCCGGCCACGGCCAGGCCCCUACCCGUCCCUACGGCUAUACGUCGUUCCUCGGCCUGGCCUGGCCAGGACCGGGCAUCGUCUAUCGUGGGCCCAUCCUGCAAGUCGAACCAUGCAUGUCCUCCGUCGAUCGAGUCGCGCCUGCCUCUAGUCGCCAUGGAUAUCGAUCUGUUGAUAAUUGGCUACCAAGAAUCUCUGGUCUUAAGGUUACUGCAAAGAAGAACAGGUCCGAGGAGAUGGGAUGAGAAUUUGGUUAGGCACUUAUUUUAUCCACAUGAUGCAGAGGAGAUUUUAAGUCUACGUCUUCAGUCGUCAGGGGAAGCUGAUUUUAUAGCUUGGCAGAAUGGUUUAUUCUCGGUUAAAAGCACGUACAUGUUUGCGCGUAAUCUAAAGGAACGUAAAGAAGAUGAAGGGCAAUACAGUGGCGCGGUGUUGGGGGAGAGGAAGAUUUGGGAUAUUAUUUGGAAGGCCAAUGUUCCUUCGAAGAUUCAUAUUUUUUGCUUGGCGUGUCGCUACGAACAGCUUGGCCGUCCAGAGGUGGACUCAAAAAAUAAAGGUGAAGGUCUGCUGUCAGGAUUAGAAAUUGUUCCUAAUCCUAUGGAAACUCAGGUGUUAUGGCAACCCCCUCCUUCGGAGUAUAUUAAGAUCAAUGUCGAUGCAAGCUUUGCGGAGAGCAUUAGCGCUGCAAGUGUAGUUGUGGUGGUCAAGGACUCUUCGGGGAAGGUCCUCGUCUCUUCCUAG
rnacentral:rRNA from 1 species